UGUCACUCCAGAUGCUUGGACUACACCUCCCAUGAUGCUUUGCCAGCAUUUUGAGUGUAAGAGCAUUAUGGGGGAUGUAGUCCAAGCAUCUGGAGUGACA